AGAGAGAGACAUGCGCGCAUAUCAAUAAGCGGAGGAAAAGAAACUAACUAAGGAUUCCCUCAGUAACGGCGAGUGAAGCGGGAAGAGCUCAAAUUUGAAAUCUUCAAGGGUUCUACCUUUACGAAUUGUAGUUUAAAGAAGUGUUUUCUGUUGAGGUUUUGGUAAAAGUUCUUUGGAAUAGGACAUCAUAGAGGGUGAGAAUCCCGUAUUUGACCAUUACUUUCCAACUUUGUGACUACACUUUCAAAGAGUCGGAUUGUUUGGGAAUGCAGUCCAAAGUGGGUGGUAAAUUUCAUCUAAAGCUAAAUAUUGGCGAGAGACCGAUAGCGAACAAGUACCGUGAGGGAAAGAUGAAAAGAACUUUGAAAAGAGAGUUAAACAGUACGUGAAAUUGUCAAAAGGGAAGCGUUUGACACCAGUGUUGUUUUCUCGAAAAUCAAUUAAAAAAGGCAGGAUUUUGUGUUGUAUUGACUUUAUCAGCUUUCUGCACUCUUUUCUUGUCUUUUUAAUGCACUUUUCGUUUAACAAGUCAACAUCAAUUUCUUUUGUUGUAAAAGGGUCAUUGGAAGGUGGCUUUCUUUUCGGAGAAAGUGUUUAUAGCCUUUGGCCUCUGCAAUCGGAGAGAUUGAGGUCUGCAGCGUAGAUCCUUCGGGGUUAGAUACAUUUGUGCUAAGUUAUAGCCUUUCAUAGACAACUUGUUGACUAUGAUCAGUCAUGUAGCUUACUCGCUUAUGCUAUUUUACCUACGCUUAGGAUGUUGAUGUGAUACUGCGAGCA
rnacentral:rRNA from 1 species